rnacentral:antisense_RNA from 1 species
UUUCAACGACCCCAGCCACAAGGGCCGUUCGCGCCCCUGCCCGUAUGUCGCCAGCAACGCACGUGCCUC